UGUCAGGUAAGCCCCUGGAUUGAGCCAUGCCCUCAGAACUUACCGAUUUAGGGAGCCAGUAAAUCCCUCUCCUACUUAAGCUGGGUUUCUGUGUCUUUCAUUGAAGGCUCAGAAGGAAACCCUCUACAAGACCAAAGCCAUGCCUUUGUCUGUCUCUGUUCUCUCCUCCCAAGUUAUUUACAUUAUAAGAUGCUAGAUGCAAAGCUGGCACACAGUAAAUAUUAACUCAAAUAGACCUUGAGCCCCCCCAAUUUUUGUCUUGACAGGAGUCCAAGUAAAGCUUGGAAGGACUUGAUUUCUGAACCAGACUCAUUAAGGAACACACUCAUCAAUUCUCUGUGGACGUCUCAGGCCAAGCACACCUCCCAUGCAGUGCAUGGCUUGGAAUCCCUUCUCUUCACCAAACCAUUCCUUCAGCGCUCACCUCCUCCAGGUAGCCUUCCAAACCAGGUCUUAACUUCGUCACCAUUCCUCGCUUUGUGAUUCCUUGCUUUUGCUAACACUUUGGUCCAGCUGUACUUGGUCAGAUGUGUUAUUUGAGCGUAGCUGUGUGUAUGUCAUCCCUCUCACCUCACCCCUGGCCAACUGACUAAAGAGCUUUUUAGAACAGGGGCAGUGUCUCCACCAUCAGUCUAGGAACCUUCUGGGGGCGGGGACUCUAACUCCCCUCUUAGAUCGGGGAUCCAGUUGCUGCCUCUCCUCACAUCAGACUAGGCACUGCGCAAGCUAGAAUCAUCUCUCCAUGCCUCACGAAGCCUCAUCAGCAAGGCAAGAAAAUACGGUCUGACCUACAGCCCUGUAGAAAUGGAGAGUGGGAGGAAGAGGGGUAAGAGUAGCCCUCCUCACUCACAGGAGGGUCCAUCUUAACCUUCAGGGGAAAACUGAUGAAGAGCCCAUAAGGUUAGUCCUGGAUCAGAAUGCUAUUCAGCAACUCCAGAAAUAUUCUAACUCAGCUCCUGUUCCCUCCUGUGUAGCAGCGUAAACAGAAACCUCCCCACACGAGGCCAGAAUUCUGCCUUAUAAGCCUUCUUGCUUCCCUUGUUCCUUGUCUGUUGGGUAACAAUGAAUCCUUUAUUGGGAAGCUUGUCAAAUCCACGUAGACACCGAGGGGGUGGCCAUAUGUUUUCUGUCUCGUGGCUCCUGUUGGAUGGCAGCCCUGGAGUAGCCUGUGUAGCUGACAGUGCUGGUGGGACACAAUACCACCCUCCUGCUCUCUUCAACAUGCUACCCUGUCUUUGUACCUCCUGCCCCCAUUCCAACACUCAAGGCUUUUCAGCAGCAGCUGUGCCGUGAGCCAUUGUGGAGGAAGGAUGCUAACGUAAGUUCUCGGAGAAGGUGAUGGAUUCCCAACAAGGGUCAGAGAAAGUCAUUCGGGGAGGACAGAGCCUGAGUAAAGCCAGUCUGAGCACGGUGGGUGAGGCUGCUCUCAGAGAGCUGACCUGGAAGUACAGAGGGCAGGGAGCCAAGGUGAGGAGGGGCAAGGUGGAGAGGGCAUGAAGGGCUGGCUUGUUUGGUGGGAGAGGAAGGAAUUGAAAGCCCUUGAAUGCAAGUUGAGUCUGUAUCUGGUAGAAAAAGCAGUGGGGAGAUGAGGACAGAUCUUGGAUAGGAAAGAGGCGUGAUAAAAAUAGUGCGAGUGAUCCAGUCAUCUGCAUGUGGGAGGCUGAGUGCUCGGGGAAACGGAGGCGAGGUGCUAAGCCUGGAUUCUGCGGCAGGAUUGGUGUGCCUGUUGGUGAUUAUGGAAGUGGGUUGGAGCUGGGGUCUAGGUGAGUGAGUCCUCAUCUUUUAGACAGGCUUCAUCUCUUGGAGGAAGGUGCUGGGAGCUCUGGCUUAAUUCCCCAAGGGGAUGAUGGUUCCAGGAAUGGGGGCUACUGCUUUGGGGAUCUGUUGCUGCCAAAAGUCAGUGGAUCUGGGUGAUCCCGUUCAACCCAUGGAGAGCAGGUCUCCUUGUCCUCAGCUGCACCUGGCUGAGCUCUGCCAGAGGUGUGUGUAACCUUAGAAGUCACGAAGCAUCCUGAAAGUGUUUCCAUUCCCACGAGGGAUAAACACAUAGAACAAGAGGAAUCAUUCUUACUGAAGCCACUGAAGUAUGUACUUAAGGAUCAAUAAGACUACUCUUGCGGAUCUAUGCUUAUUCAACAUUCAUGCAAGAAAUAGUGAUUAAGCGUCUGUUAUAUACAGGCACAUUGCUAAAUACUGUAUAUGUAGCUAUGAGUAAGACUGACAUGGGCCCUCCCCUGUCAAGCAUUUUGUAAUUUAUAGAAAUAGGUGUCUCUGAACUUGUCCAGGACUUUCUUUCCAUUGGCAGCAACUGGCCAGAGACCUUGAUGAAGACAGGAAUGGGGUGCAGGCUACCAAGAAGCUCGGGCCCAGGUAAACCGACUUGCAUGGCAAGGGCGCGCCUUCAGCCUCCCCAUUUUACCCGCAUUCAUAUCACACACCAAAUAAGGAGAAAGAUGGGACACAUUUGCACAAUAGUUCAAGACAGGGUCUCCAUGGCAACAAUUACCCAAAAAUCUACUGACAGCCGCAACAGCAGGAGCUAGCAAAGAAGACUCUGGGGGUGGGAGAUGCGCGUGGGGGCUCAGAGGAUGGCUUCCUUUUAUUCUUAAACUGAAGGAAGUGCUGAUGGCAGGAGCCAAGGCGUCUCAGAGCCUGACUAAGCCAAGAACCAUGGGAAGGGGGAGCUGGAAGGAGACUUAAAGAUGAGCUACUCUGAGGCCUAGCUGCAGAACACUCCAGGAGGAUGUGCCAGCUCAGGGGUGAGGACUGGGCCAUCAGGGCAUCGUCCCUCCCACCACCCACUUCGGUGCACAGGAGUUCUCCCUGCCUCCAGAGGUCGUGGGAUGGGGACAAGGGGUGGACGCAACUUCCUGGGAAGUCAGGGGCUCUGGGGAGUUUGAGUCUGCCUGAAGACUGAGUCCAGUCCAUGAAAACCCCCCACGUGGAUGCGGGUUGGGAGAACAUGGGCUCUAGCCCACUCCAUCCCCCAACUUGCUGUAUGACCCCUCAGUUUCCCCAACAGUGAAAUGUACAACCUACCUUGAAGAACCUAGUACAAGGCUGAAUGAGUAGUGUGAGAUGGGAAAUGCUUUACCAAAGUAAAUUCCAGUGCAAAGACAAGGUCUCCAUGUGUCCAGGCAGGACAGCUUGACAAAAUUAGGUGUGCCCAAGGCUCUCCUCCACAGGCAGAGCAUCCUAGGACAAGUGAGUCAGUGUCAGGAAUGCAAGGGGAGACCUAAGUGUGGCCAGAGAGCAGUACCAGGGAGCUGGUGAGAAGGCGGGGGCAGAGGGUGCCUUAGCAGCAGAAGCAUCAUCUGCUUCCUACCAGCAGACAGAUGGACAGACUGACUGAGAGCAGUCAGCAAAGUGCAUGACCUCCAGUCUUUAAAUUUUUCAGAAGAGGUUUGGCUCAAAAGGAAAAGUAUCCUGCUUUCUUUUUUGGAAAAGCCUAAAUCUGCCACUACCCCACCCCGACUUCUAAGUUUACUUCUCUUGGUCUGGCAGUGCUCAAGAACCGCUGACUGUUUUUCAGGUCCUGUAGAUCACGACCACACUUAGGUCCCCCAUUGCAUUCCUGACACUGCAUUCAAAACCCUGGAGAAAGGAGAAGUUCUCCAUCUUUCUUUGGGGAACUAAGAAAAAAGGCAAGUUGACUAUCUCUAGAGCAAAGAAGGCUCUGCUGCAUUUGGAAAUAAAACUUCUCUACCAACCCCCACAGAUAGCAAUCCCUUUACACUGAACUAUGGUGAGAAGGGAUUAAGCUAGAGUAUUUCCUGAACACUUUUUUUGUUCCAGGCUCUCUCCUUUGCCCUCCCACUCUCCACCCCCAAAACCUUUCUCCUCCCUUUUUAUCUCUCUAACCACGGAAAGUCCUUCCAUCCCUGGGGGUCCCCAGAAGCCAAUCCUCCCACCCUGGAGCUGACUUCCCUCCCUCACCUUCUGGACUGAGCAGGGAAGAGAGAGAUGCAAGAGAGGUGCCAUCUGAGGAAGGCUGGCUGGGCCCUCAGGCAGGACCUCACAGGGCGGACUUCAGAGUGACCAUCAUGGUCCAGGCUUCAGGAGGGUCCAGACGGUGGGCCAGGACCCUCAACAGUGGCCACAGCCUCUCUGGACUGACCAGACUCAGUGAUGAGCAACCAGAGCACCACUUCCUAAACUCAGGAUGGAAGGGAUGGAGGCUGCCUUUUCAGUCACUGGACUACCCAUGCUCACUAUUCUGGGGACUCCUUUCUUGGAGUCAGGAGACCAGGGAAGCCAAAAUAAAGAUCGGAAAGCCACUUGGAGAACAGAGAACCAGCGCAAGAAGGCAAUAGACCUGAACAAAAGAACAUAUGUUCCUAACAAGGGCGUGUGCUUUGUUCAUCAUCGUCGGUCCUACUAGAGAAGCCUGAGCCUUGGGACAGGCCUCUCACUGUUGUGGCCUCUCACUGUUGUGGCCUCUCCCAUUGCGGAGCACAGGCUCCGGACGCGCAGGCUCAGCGGCCAUGGCUCACGGGCCUAGCCGCUCCGUGGCACGUGGGAUCUUCCCGGACCGGGGCACGAACUCGUGUCCCCUGCAUCGGCAGGCGGACUGUCAACCACUGUGCCACCAGGGAAGACCUAGCUUCAAGUCUUUGACAGGAGCUUCCUACUUCCCCAAGGUGAUGUGGCAUUUUAGAAACAGUUUUGUUUCCAUGGCAACCUCAUUCCAGGUUUCAUCUCCAUGGCAAUUCAUUGGAGUUUUUCACCCUUUUGGUAAGUACACAUGUGACUGCCGAUACAUACAUUGCAGAAAAGUUAAUAUAAAGCCACAUUUUUAGAAGUGGGGCAUCUCAUUAUCUAAGUCUGCAGUCCGGAGCAUAACAAGGCAGGUUCCAGGGGAGACAGGGCCCAUGGCAUCAAGGACCCAGAGCAGUCUUUGGGGCAGGUAUGCCCUCUGACUGCCAUUGUAAACCUCUUCUAAUCUUUACGGAUCAGUGUAUCUUAAGGUCACCAUGGCCAUAAAUAAUUUCUCCUUUUCUGUAUCAUCCCUCGUGCCCUGCUCAUGACAAAGCCUCAGAGUUGCCUCUGAUGGCAAGAAGUGCUGGGACAAGGAGAGAGGAAGCUGAUUCUUCUGACUACAACCUCUGCAGUACCCCGGGAGUGACUCCACCUGCUUCCCUCGCCCAUGCACCCCAGUUUGGCGCACGCUGGAACAGUUCCCACCUUUUGUGGCAGACCUUGCUUUCCUGAUCUGUGAGCUGUGAGUACCCCUUCCGACCUGACCUAAUCUGACACCUAUUUUCCAGGAUAUCUUCAUGGUUUCUAGUCCACUGAGGGCACCCCUUAUGUUUUCCUGCAAUGCUAUAGAUUUUCUUUAGUAUCUGUCCCAGUGUUUAUAAUGACUCAGGGCUGGAUGGAGUGAGUAUAUAGUCAACCAUCUCGACAUAACCCUCUCUUUCCCUCUCUACUUCUAGUGUUUUGGGUAACUUUUCUUGUCAACUUAUAGUCUGUUUAAUGAUGGUGGUGAGUCGUUAAUUUCUCUGCAUCAUCACGAACAUCUUCAUCGUCAGUAGUGGUACUAUUUCAUGACUAAGGAGUCACCAUCACAUUCUGCAACAAAGAAAAGUGAGAAGUGCUCCCCCAAAUAUCCCCACAUCCUGAACAAUGAAACAGAAAAAUCAAGGCAUGGUGUAAUUUCAAAAUUUCAAUCAAAAUCAUAAAAUGUGCCAGCUCUUCACUUUCCAAAUAUCUUUUGAACUCAGGUAGACUUGAAUGUGGACUCUGGUUCCAUUGAUCCUUAACUGUGGUUUCAGAGGAAUGACCUAACAGUCUGAGCCUUGUUCUCUUCAGUGGAGAUGAGAACAGUCUCUGCCUUGCAGGAAUUAUUAGAUCUGGGUUAUGAAAAAAAUAGAAAGGAUUAUGAGACAAAAUAUGAAAAGUGCUUCACACCAUUCCUGGCAUGUGGAAGAUCUUCUCUAAAUGGCAGUAUUAGCACCUAAAAAGGGAGUCAUUACCAUGGAAUUGUAUUUGCAUCUGACUGAAGUGAACACUUACCCUCCUUGUGUUUUGUUUAUUUCAUGACACGUCUUUGAUCCCUAUGAUGCAUGACGCCCCUUGAAAGCAGAGGCUGUGUCUUCAAUUCAACCAAGUUUUGUGAUGUUCCUAAACAGAAUAAAGCAUCAUGCUCGGCACCACAGAAAAUACACACACAGAGGAGACAGUUCUGGUCCUCGAGGGUAGUGUAGUGAUGGAGCUCUGUCACACCAUAGAGCUGCAGGGGUAAGCGAUGCUGCCUCAGGGUAGAGACCCCACACCCCCGCCCCAGCUGCCAUCUCAGAGACCUGGACACUUGCCUGGUUUGGCCUGCCCUGAGCUGGGUU